AACAGCCGGGUGUGAGGAGCAGGUCUGUCAUUGUGCAGUUCUCACAAGAACACCCAACAAACUCUUCCAAAGAACUGUGAAACUACAUUCUGCCCUGUUAUGUUGUGAUUAACUGUCAUCCAGUAAUGCCCAGAACUUCUUCCAGGUCUUCAUGAAUGAUGGAUGACUAAGGUACUUCUGGCAAUUUUCCAAACUUCCACAAAUGUGAACCUCAGGACGAGGAGAGCUUAAGCAAAAGGACAAUGAGAAAUCAAAACCUACCUUUGCAGUGGAACCACACAUCUGCUCUACAGAGGAAUUAAUGAAGGAAAGGAAUCACUGUGGCCAUUUUUACACUGAGGACAAGCUAAUGAUGACCUUCCUCCACAGGCUAGCCGGGUCAUUCUGCAAGGCUGGUGCCAUCAGCUUUGCUAAGAAAGCUGCCCAUAAGCAGGGGGAUCAAGAUCUAUCUGUAAUUAUGUUUUGAAUCAAACUAGCUAGUCCCUGCUACCAUGAAGCAUCCUAAUGACAUUGACAGCAAUCCCCACAAAUUCACUAGUCUCACAACAGCCACAUUUGUUUCAGCAGGACAAGGCUAUGCUAUGCGGACAAGGAGCUUGCAGCCUCAGAUUUAUACUUCAGAUGGCUUUUAUCUGUCUUUUAUAGUUUCCUGAAAACCACUUACAAAGCACGACUCACUUCAGCUUACAAGACUCCUUAUACCCAUGAGCAUCUGCUUCAGUUACAGCUAUUUCCUCUCCAUGACAUGUUAAAGCAAGAAUGGCCAUUGGCAUUAACCACUUUUGGCAUCCAAGUAGUGAAUAUGAAAGAGAUCUGAUUUUUUUUUUCCCAUCACUACAAUGCAGCCCCACUUUGACUCUUUGCAGAAGUGUCAGCAGAAUUCAUAACAAGCUCAACACAAUCUGAGUUGCAAAGUACAAUAAAAGGCCUGCUGCAUGGGGAAUGCAGCAGGAUUGAAAACCAGAAGGAAAGCAACAUAGUCCCAGAAGCUGCACAAAGGAGAAGAGGGAUGCAGGAAUGAUCAACACUGCUUCUCACUCACAGGGAGAGUGAAGUCCCUCGCUAUUCCUCUGCCCAGUGCCACAGCCCUUGCUGUACUGCCGGCACCCAGACCCUUACUGGGAGCUCCUGGUGGGCACUACUGGUCUGGUGGGGCUUCUGGGUCCUUCUUUACUUGCCAAAAACGUCAGCGGAUCUGUAAACGUUACUUCAGGGAAGAUGUAACAGAUACAUUCAUUCCCUGCCAGUGGCUGUAAAUCCUGCAGAUCCAAACAGAGGUUCUAGCCAGUACUGGAGGAAAACGAACCACGUAGACAGUGCCAAAUCUGUGUCCCAUUCCAGACACCCUUUCCAGGACACCAGAACCAAAAAGGGACUGUCAAAAAGCACAGAGAACAAGUUGAUUAUGAGAGGAGACUGGAAAGCAUAUGAGAGAGCCACAGAAAUGUCUCAUCUAAGGGCAGAAACAAUAAAGUUGUGUUUAU